GACGAACGCUGGCGGCGUGCUUAACACAUGCAAGUCGAGGGGGCCCGCAAGGGUCACCGGCGAACGGGUGCGUAACACGUGAGCAACCUGCCGCAGAGUGGGGGAUAGCCGGCCCAACGGCCGGGUAAUACCGCAUACGAUCCUUUGGGGGAGUCCCCGGGGGAUGAAAGAUUUAUCGCUCUGUGAGGGGCUCGCGGCCUAGCAGCUAGUUGGUGCGGUAACGGCGCACCAAGGCGACGACGGGUAGCUGGUCUGAGAGGAUGGCCAGCCACAUUGGGACUGCGACACGGCCCAGACUCCUACGGGAGGCAACAGUGGGGAAUCUUGCGCAAUGGGCGAAAGCCUGACGCAGCGACGCCGCGUGGGGGAGGAAGGUUUUCGGAUCGUAAACCCCUGUUGCCCGGGACGAAUCCCUGGUUUUGACCAGGUUGACGGUACCGGGUGAGGAAGCACCGGCUAACUCCGUGCCAGCCGCCGCCGUAAUAC
rnacentral:rRNA from 1 species